rnacentral:rRNA from 1 species
AAGUGGAUAACCCUGGCAAUUCUAGAGCUAAUACAUGCACCGAAGCUCCGACCGCAAGGGACGAGCGCAGUUAUUAGACCGAACGCACCCUGCGGGCAACCGUGGGGCUGUUAAGGUGACUCUGGAUAACCAUGCGGAUCGCACGGCCCAGCGCCGGCGACAAUUCUUUCGAAUGUCUGCCCUAUCAGAGUCGAUGGUAGUCGAGAAGGACUACCAUGCUGACAACGGGUAACGGGGAAUCAGGGUUUGAUUCCGGAGAGGGAGCCUGAGAAACGGCCACCACAUCCAAGGAAGGCAGCAGGCACGCAAAUUACCCACUCCUGACACAGGGAGGUAGUGACGAAUAAUAACAAUACGGGCGUCUUUCGAGGCCCCGUAAUUGGAAUGAGUGCAAUUUAAAUCCUUCAACAAGGAUCUAUU